UACAGAGGGGGCAAGCGUUAUUCGGAAUUAUUGGGCGUAAAGGGCGCGUAGGCGGCUUGGCAAGUGGAAGGUGAAAUCCCUCGGCUCAACUGAGGAACUGCCUUCCAGACUGCUUUGCUUGAGUCCGGGAGAGGUGAGUGGAAUUCCCAGUGUAGCGGUGAAAUGCGUAGAUAUUGGGAGGAACACCAGUGGCGAAGGCGGCUCACUGGACCGGAACUGACGCUGAGGCGCGAAAGCUAGGGGAGCGAACAGG
rnacentral:rRNA from 1 species